rnacentral:rRNA from 1 species
UACGGAGGAUCCAAGCGUUAUCCGGAAUCAUUGGGUUUAAAGGGUCCGCAGGCGGUCUAUUAAGUCAGAGGUGAAAUCCUGCCGCUCAACGGUAGAAUGGCCUUUGAUACUGAUAGACUUGAGUUAUUGUGAAGUAGUUAGAAUGUGUAGUGUAGCGGUGAAAUGCAUAGAUAUUACACAGAAUACCAAUUGCGAAGGCAGAUUACUAACAAUACACUGACGCUGAGGGACGAAAGCGUGGGUAGCGAACAGG